rnacentral:rRNA from 1 species
AAGUAAACCAUAAAAAGAACCAACAGGGAUUGCCCCAGUAACGGCGAGUGAAGCGGCAACAGCUCAAAUUUGAAAUCUGGCCCCCAGGGCCCGAGUUGUAAUUUGCAGAGGAUGCUUUUGGCGCGGUGCCUUCCGAGUUCCCUGGAACGGGACGCCAUAGAGGGUGAGAGCCCCGUCUGGUCGGACGCCUAGCCUGUGUAAAGCUCCUUCGACGAGUCGAGUAGUUUGGGAAUGCUGCUCUAAAUGGGAGGUAUAUGUCUUCUAAAGCUAAAUACCGGCCAGAGACCGAUAGCGCACAAGUAGAGUGAUCGAAAGAUGAAAAGCACUUUGAAAAGAGGGUUAAAUAGUACGUGAAAUUGUUGAAAGGGAAGCGCUUGUGACCAGACUUGGGCCCGGUGGAUCAUCCAGCGUUCUCGCUGGUGCACUCCGCCGGGUUCAGGCCAGCAUCAGUUCGCCGCGGGGGAAAAAGGCUUCGGGAACGUGGCUCCUACGGGAGUGUUAUAGCCCGUUGCAUAAUACCCUGGGGCGGACUGAGGUUCGCGCUCCGCAAGGAUGCUGGCGUAAUGGUCAUCAGCGACCCGUCUUGAAACACGGACCAAGGAGUCGUCUUCGUAUGCGAGUGUUCGGGUGUAAAACCCCUACGCGUAAUGAAAGUGAACGCAGGUGAGAGCUUCGGCGCAUCAUCGACCGAUCCUGAUGUUCUCGGAUGGAUUUGAGUAAGAGCAUACGGGGCCGGACCCGAAAGAAGGUGAACUAUGCCUGUAUAGGGUGAAGCCAGAGGAAACUCUGGUGGAGGCUCGCAGCGGUUCUGACGUGCAAAUCGAUCGUCAAAUAUGGGCAUGGGGGCGAAAGACUAAUCGAACCUUCUAGUAGCUGGUUUC